rnacentral:rRNA from 1 species
AUUGAACGCUGGCGGCAGGCCUAACACAUGCAAGUCGAACGGUAACAGGGAUCAGCUUGCUGAUUCGCUGACGAGUGGCGGACGGGUGAGUAAUGUCUGGGAAACUGCCUGAUGGAGGGGGAUAACUACUGGAAACGGUAGCUAAUACCGCAUAACGUCGCAAGACCAAAGAGGGGGACCUUCGGGCCUCUUGCCCUCGGAUGUGCCCAGAUGGGAUUAGCUAGUAGGUGGGGUAACGGCUCACCUAGGCUACGAUCCCUAGCUGGUCUGAGAGGAUGACCAGCCACACUGGAACUGAGACACGGUCCAGACACCUACGGGAGGCAGCAGUGGGGAAUAUUGCACAAUGGGCGCAAGCCUGAUGCAGCCAUGCCGCGUGUAUGAAGAAGGCCUUCGGGUUGUAAAGUACUUUCAGCGGGGAGGAAGGGAGUAAAGUUAAUACCUUUGCUCAUUGACGUUACCCGCAGAAGAAGCACCGGCUAACUCCGUG